rnacentral:lncRNA from 1 species
UAAUUCAUGUGGUGAAAUUUGAUCAUGAAGUGGUGUCGGUUACCAAUCAUAGUUAAUAUUGUAAUUUUUGUUUGAUUUUCGUUUAAAAGUUGCAUGUGAGGUUUACAGACACGAGCAACAUAAGUGGAUGAAAUGAUAUAUUUUAUCAUGUAUCAGAAUAUCAUGUCCAAAUUUUGGAACGAAAUUUUGUUAGAAAUUUGAUUCUGGUUAAAAUUGUACAUAACACUCACAAACAUGAACAACAUAAGCAGAUGAAAUGAUAUAUUUUAUAAUCGGUCGGAACAUUAUGUGCAAUCUUGGAGCUUAACGUUGUCAAAAAUUUCAUUUUGAUUAAAAUCAGUGACUGAUCUGCUUAGAAAAAUUGAUAUUCUUGCGCAGUUACAAAUUAUUGGUUGACAACGUAAGGGAGUGUAUCAUUCUUAAGACAUCCAUUUGACCAAAAGACGACGUGUGCUAUGACACCAAUAUUCAAUUUCGACAUGUGGUUGACAUGGGUUAGUACUUACCACGCCUUGCCGCCAACUUACUUUUGUUUUUGUGAAGGAAAAAGAAAAUAGAAAAAUAGAGUGCAGGAUGAUGGGGUGGUAGAAGGCAUUGUUGUUCGGUGGGCAACAAGAUCUGGACCCUUUGAUUCGUUGACUUAAACUAUAUUCUCACGGUCUUGCUGUUGCUCCUCCUUUGGAUAUUAAAUAUUUAACUACUAAUACUUUAUUUUUGGUGAGUCUGCAUGA